rnacentral:lncRNA from 1 species
CCCUAAGUUCAGGGUUCUUUCAUUGUUAUACAACCCAUGGUGUGCAGGUGUCACCUGGCCCUCUUUGCUUUGCCCUGUGGGUUUUGAGGAACCAACACGAAAAAUGCUGAUACACAGUGAGGAAUAAGUUCUCAUGAGGCCAGAAGUCCUGUGUCUUUUGAAGAUAUCCAAGAGACUGGCUGGCUACCUUGUCAGUUUGCAGAUAGGGCUUUCUCAGACCCUUCACAGUUCUUGAUAAUGUUUCCCUUUGUAAUUAGUAAGUAAUCUAUGGGUGAUACAUUGGCACUGUGUGAAUAUCUUGUUUCUCUACAACACUUUACCUAAUGGUUUUAGAUUCCAUAUAUAAUCUUUGCCUGAAUCAACAAGUUUAUUGGAGGUAGCAAAAUGGUGAUUUUCUGUUUCUAUUAUUCUUUCCACAUUUAUUAACUGCAUUCUUCCGUAGAGCUUCCCCUCAUCCACUGGCGAUGAACUACAGUUCCUUACAAAAAGACUAUAAAGAAAAGCAAGAAAUUUGUGAACAUAACCUUCAGAUGAUGGUCACCUUUAUGGAGAGGCUAGGGGGAAUGGAGCAGAGAGCAACCUCCAGCAGCUUCUAGAAGAUUAGAAAUGUUUCAAUCUGUGUGAAGUCAUGGGUUCAUGGAUGUUUAUUUUAUUGUUAGAUAUACAUAUUCUUUGAC